rnacentral:rRNA from 1 species
UGGGGAAUCUUGGACAAUGGGCGCAAGCCUGAUCCAGCCAUGCCGCGUGGAUGAUGAAGGCCUUAGGGUUGUAAAAUCCUUUCGUGGGGGACGAUAAUGACGGUACCCCAAGAAGAAGCUCCGGCUAACUUCGUGCCAGCAGCCGCGGUAAUACGAAGGGGGCUAGCGUUGUUCGGAUUUACUGGGCGUAAAGCGCGUGUAGGCGGGUCGUUAAGUUGGGGGUGAAAUCCCGAGGCUCAACCUCGGAACUGCCUUCAAAACUGGCGACCUGGACUCAAGCAGAGGCAAGUGGAAUUGCGAGUGUAGAGGUGAAAUUCGUAGAUAUUCGCAGGAACACCAGUGGCGAAGGCGACUUGCUGGGCUUGUAGUGACGCUGAGACGCGAAAGCGUGGGGAGCAAACAGGAUUAGAUACCCUAGUAGUCCCUGAGCGGGCUGGCAAGGCGCAU